rnacentral:rRNA from 1 species
UACAGGGGGCGCAAACGUUGUUCGGAAUCACUGGGCAUAAAGCGCACGUAGGCGGCUACCUAAGUCGAGUGUGAAAGCCCCCGGCUCAACCGGGGAACAGCUCUCGAUACUGGGUAGCUCGAGGAUGGUAGGGGUGAGUGGAACUCCAGGUGGAGCGGUGAAAUGCGUAGAUAUCUGGAGGAACACCGGUGGCGAAAGCGACUCACUGGACCAUCACUGACGCUGAGGUGCGAAAGCUAGGGGAGCAAACGGGAUUAGAUACCCCGGUAGUCCUAGCCGUAAACGAUGGGCACUAGGUAGGAGGGAUACCUAUGGUCUUUCCUGCCGUAGCAAAUGCAUUAAGUGCCCCGCCUGGGGAGUACGCUCGCAAGGGUA